rnacentral:sRNA from 1 species
GCUAGGUAUGGUGGCACAUACCUGUCAUCCCAGUGGCUUGGAAGGCUGAGGCAGGAGGAUUGCAGGUUGGAGGCCAGCCUCUGCAAAUCAGCAAGGCCCUGAGCAACUCAGUGAGACCCUGUCUCUG